rnacentral:rRNA from 1 species
UGGACAGCCUUCUGAAAGGAAGAUUAAUACAAGAUGGCAUCAUGAGUCCGCAUGUUCACAUGAUUAAAGGUAUUCCGGUAGACGAUGGGGAUGCGUUCCAUUAGAUAGUAGGCGGGGUAACGGCCCACCUAGUCUUCGAUGGAUAGGGGUUCUGAGAGGAAGGUCCCCCACAUUGGAACUGAGACACGGUCCAAACUCCUACGGGAGGCAGCAGUGAGGAAUAUUGGUCAAUGGGCGAGAGCCUGAACCAGCCAAGUAGCGUGAAGGAUGACUGCCCUAUGGGUUGUAAACUUCUUUUAUAAAGGAAUAAAGUCGGGUAUGGAUACCCGUUUGCAUGUACUUUAUGAAUAAGGAUCGGCUAACUCCGUGCCAGCAGCCGCGGUAAUACGGAGGAUCCGAGCGUUAUCCGGAUUUAUUGGGUUUAAAGGGAGCGUAGAUGGAUGUUUAAGUCAGUUGUGAAAGUUUGCGGCUCAACCGUAAAAUUGCAGUUGAUACUGGAUAUCUUGAGUGCAGUUGAGGCAGGCGGAAUUCGUGGUGUAGCGGUGAAAUGCUUAGAUACCACGAAGAACUCCGAUUGCGAAGGCAGCCUGCUAAGCUGCAACUGACAUUGAGGCUCGAAAGUGUGGGUAUCAAACAGGAUUAGAUACCCUGGUAGUCCACACGGUAAACGAUGAAUACUCGCUGUUUGCGAUAUACUGCAAGCGGCCAAG